UGUGCUUCAGUCGCAGAAGGGGGUGAGAAGUGGGAAGAGGGGAUUUGCAUAGAACCUCCAAUUUUCCUCGUUUCCCAGGGAGUUGAUGAUUUCAGAUCAGCUUGUCAAAAAAGACUGCCUCUUUUGUGAAACCAUUCUUCUUUUCCUGGCAUGGACCAAGGAAAGGAAAACAUCACCAGGAAAAUGUUACAUGUGGGGACAAUUAUUCUAUAGGCCCUUGGCUGGGAGUUAUGGAUAUGAACAUAAUUCAGAG